UACGUAGGGUGCGAGCGUUGUCCGGAAUUAUUGGGCGUAAAGGGCUCGUAGGCGGUUUGUCGCGUCGGGAGUGAAAACACCGGGCUUAACUCGGUGCUUGCUUUCGAUACGGGCAGACUAGAGGUAUGCAGGGGAGAACGGAAUUCCUGGUGUAGCGGUGAAAUGCGCAGAUAUCAGGAGGAACACCGGUGGCGAAGGCGGUUCUCUGGGCAUGAUCUGACGCUGAGGAGCGAAAGUGUGGGGAGCGAACAGG
rnacentral:rRNA from 1 species